UUUGCCAGGAUUAAACCCACGAUAUUUUACAAUUUGCAUGUGAACCCCGAUGAAGUGUUUCUAGGAGAUGGCUGUCCUGUAACCUAUGUUUUGCCAAAUGUCUACUAUGAGUUUUUCUACCAUCCUCAUGACUGCGGUAUUGUAACUCAACCUCUCAGGGGAGUUCUUCUGCUUAAAACAAAAAUUAAGUAUAUCUCAAGAGACUCUGCUGUCCGAGCUGAAAUGCCUCUGUCGUGUGUGGUCCGCAAUCAGCAUCCUCUUUUAAAUGUAGUUGAAACGAGAGAUGGGGAAACUGGCAAUGUUGAUGAAUGGGAGAUAGAGGUGAAGAUACAGAUUGCGAGUGAAGACACGGCAGUAACUUCUGCAACACAAUCUUGUGUCUAUAACCUGUUCUGAAACCUGGCUCCAGGUCAAACUUAGACGAACGCCACUGUUAAAUGACCUGCAACCUUUGCAAAACGAACUCUCUCUAGGAAUUGGCUGUCCUGUAAACAUGGUCGAGGUGGAUUUCUUUGGGUUCCUGUAUCUUCUAACUUUUUGUGGCAUCAGAGUGAGCGAACACGGAGUAGGUAUGCUCAUUGAAAGUUUAAUUGUGUAUGAGCCACCGAAUUUUGACUUCAAUUUACACAUCCCAGUAUCAUGCUAUGUGCAAAGAAGGUUUCCAAUAAUCUUAGUGAUGAGAAGGGGAGAGAAUGACAACCGUCGUGAAUGCAGAAGGUCAGUGGGACAGCACUGCUCACUAUCACGCAAACUUGAAGACUUGGGAAUCCGUCCAAGAGUGUCCUAUGUGAACAGUGUUCCCUUGUUGAGCUACUUAAUUGUAUCCCUUCCUAAGUGUAAGAACAAAGCUAUACAUUCUGGAUGAUGAGGCCACCCUAUUUCA